CUGUGAGCUGCCAUGGUUGAUGAUUACCUUCAAGACAGUCCAGGCCCAAAGUGGCCCAAAGACCUGCAAGCAGGGGCUGUGUACACUGUGUGAAAGAGGAAGAGGGUAUACAUCAGGCUGCACACAAAAUCCAAAACAAAUGAUGAAACCGGAGCCUUGUUUAUCGCUUUAAUGAUGAACAACCAGCACUGAGAGGCAGUUGUUGUCAUCAACUAAGAAAGUUCCUCAUUUGACUUAUGAAAGCCAUUCCUGUGGUAGAAUUUAACCAUUACUGUGUGUAUGUCUCCAGAUUUCCAUAAGAGAAAUGUACCUUCUUCAGAUCAGUACUGUAUUCAAUACUCGUAAUACUUGUGUGUAAAGUUCUCAACUAACACAUCUCCUUCUGUAUUAGCCCCCAAAGCAUGGUAGAUUUCUUUUUUCAGAUUGAAUAUUUUUCUGAUUUAUCAGCCACAUAGUGGAAGGGGACAUUUACACCCUGAUGCCUCUACAAUCAAUCAUUAAACUAUCUGUUUUCCUCCCACUCUAAGUUGGAGCCCUCAGUAAAAGCUAACCACUCUUUCCAGCCUCACAUGCUCUUCAGAUAGAAUGGACAGUUUUGUCUCUCCAUCCACAUCCCCGUGUCUGUCACAUUGUGACUCAGACUCAUUGUGGAUUAGCCUGUAACUAUGCCUAUUAGAGCCUGAGUUUGAUUUCUAAACCAAAAAAAGGUCAAGUAAAGCAUCUAUGUCUAAAAGUCAGUUUGCCAUCAGAGACCUUCUUCCCAACCAAUUGUCCAAGCUAGAAAGCCUUAAUGAUGCCUUGGAUGUUCACCAGGCUCGGGAUACAAAUGUACAAUUGUGUGAUGCAAUCCCCAGGGACAACAAUCUUCUUGAUUGCAAUGGAGUUAACCAGUACACAGUCUGCUCAAUCAUUAGAGCCCGUCAGUAGGAAUCUUUAUUUCCUUCAGUGUAAAUAGUUUACUGUAUCCUUAACAUCCUCAUCUGAACACUGUAAUCAAGGUGAUAUAUGUUUUUAAAAAAAUCACAAAAGAAAAACAGAUACAAGAGAUAUAAGAUACAACAGAUACAAGAGAAAGAUACAAGGUAUCCUUAUAUUUUCCUAUUUCCUAAACCUUGUUUUGACUUUCAGUACAUUUUUAUUAUUCCUUAGAAUAGAGAUUGACUGUUUAAAGAAAAUUACAGUCAUUGAAAUGAUAUGAGAGAUGAAAGAUACCAUUAUUAUACUCAGUAGAUGAAAGAGAGCUGUAGAAAAGAAGUCAUUAGUGAGAGGCAAAAUAGAGUCAUUACACCAAAAAAGACACUAAAAACUAAGUUAUAUUUAUUUUAAAAUACAGAUUGAUUCCAUAUCAAUAAAUACUUUUAACACUGAAUGUAGAAAACUAGUGUGCAUAUUUCAUGAAGAUGAUGAACUAAAGAAUCAAAGGAAAAGGUGCUCCUUUACCUCUGGCCAUUGAUAAAAAA